rnacentral:piRNA from 1 species
UGAUAUGAGGUGCAUGUCCUCCCACUGGGG